rnacentral:pre_miRNA from 14 species
GCCAGCGUCGUCCUUAGCGGCGCCUCCCGUUCGUAUACUGAGUGUAUCCUGAGUGUUUAAUUUUCCGGUAUACCUUCAGUAUACGUAACGGGGGACCCGGAGAAUGCGCGGAACGGAGA